rnacentral:rRNA from 1 species
UAAUACGAAGGUGGCAAGCGUUGUUCGGAUUUACUGGGCGUACAGGGAGCGUAGGCGGUUGGAUAAGCCCUCCGUGAAAUCUCCAGGCUUAACCUGGAAAGUGCAGAGGGGACUGUUCAGCUAGAGGAUGGGAGAGGAGCGCGGAAUUCCCGGUGUAGCGGUGAAAUGCGUAGAGAUCGGGAGGAAGGCCGGUGGCGAAGGCGGCGCUCUGGAACAUUUCUGACGCUGAGGCUCGAAAGCGUGGGGAGCAAACAGGAUUAGAUACCCUGGUAGUCCACGCCUUAAACGAUGGAUACUAAGUGUCGGCGGGUUACCGCCGGUGCCGCAGCUAACGCAGUAAGUAUCCCGCCUGGGAAGUACGGCCGCAAGGUUG